rnacentral:lncRNA from 1 species
UCAACCCUUGAUUCCAACUAUUGAAAUAAUAUGUUAAUACAAAAUUUUAAAAAUUUUAUUGUAAUAGGCCUAUUUUUCCUAAACCCAAUUAGAAUACAAAGACCAAAAUAAAAUAAAUGCCUAGUCCAGUUUUUUUUACAAACCCAAUUAAUAAACCCAAAUUACAUCAGCAGGCCCAAUACCCAAACAACCCAAACAGCCCAACUAACCUAACUAAACCCUAGCCCAAAAAGAAACAAAAAAAAGAAAAGCAAGAAACCCUAAAGAAAUCAGCAGCCAUCGCCCCC